rnacentral:tRNA from 1 species
UGCCAGAUAGCCCAGUUGGAAGAGCACCUGAAUAGAGAUUCAGGGGGCCCUGGGUUCAAAUCCCAGCCUGGUCC